ensembl:lncRNA MIR3681HG MIR3681 host gene
CUUAAUGGAGUGAACUGCCUGUGAAGCGCAGAGGCAAGGACAUGUGCUGGAUGUGUAUGCAGUCUUUGAAGCUGGAGAGGCCUGUGUUGGAAACUGUGCUCUGUCCCAUGCCAGUUCCCUGACCUUGGAACCCCUAGAGCAAUCAACAGACAGACAGAGCCCUGCUUCAUGGAGCGUCUGCUCUCUCCUGGAGCUCACACGCUGAAACAGACAGGAUGCAACACCUCAGGGUUGUUGGAGAACCAGAGGCUGUUGCAAUUAGGAUGGCGAAUGGUGAAAAACAGUGUGGUUGAAUUGAACAUAAGCUGAAGGGCUAGACAUCAUGGCUUCAAUCCUUGUGGAGAAUGACUUGUGAAUUGCCACCUCCUGCAAAUCCUGUGGCCUAUGAUCUGGACCAAAUCACAUCCAAGUGUCUGAUCAGUUCUGAGAGUGGUUGUGGAUG